rnacentral:rRNA from 1 species
UGCGUAGGCGGAUCAAUAAGUCAGUGGUGAAAUCUCUCGGCUAAACCGGGAAACUGCCAUUGAUACUGUUGAUCUUGAGUUCGGUUGAGGUAGGCGGAAUGUGUAAUGUAGCGGUGAAAUGCUUAGAUAUUACACAGAACACCAAUUGCGUAGGCAGCUUACUAGACCGACACUGACGCUGAGGCACGAAAGCGUGGGGAGCGAACAGGAUUAGAUACCCUGGUAGUCC